GAAUAUUGGACAAUGGGCGAAAGCCUGAUCCAGCAAUGCCGCGUGAGUGAUGAAGGCCUUAGGGUUGUAAAGCUCUUUUACCCGGGAUGAUAAUGACAGUACCGGGAGAAUAAGCCCCGGCUAACUCCAUGCCAGCAGCCGCGGUAAUACGGAGGGGGCUAGCGUUGUUCGGAAUUACUGGGCGUAAAGCGUACGUAGGCGGCUUUGUAAGUUAGAGGUGAAAGCCCAGGGCUCAACCCUGGAACUGCCUUUGAAACUAGAUGGCUAGAAUCCUGGAGAGGCGAGUGGAAUUCCGAGUGUAGAGGUGAAAUUCGUAGAUAUUCGGAAGAACACCAGUGGCGAAGGCGACUCGCUGGACAGGUAUUGACGCUGAGGUGCGAAAGCGUGGGGAGCAAAC
rnacentral:rRNA from 1 species